GAGGGAGUGGAAGAGGCCUCUCUUACAACCUUUGCCCUGUGGUUAGAGGGCUCACCUUGCAUGUAUAAGACCCCAGUUCAACUCCCUACUCUGCUUGAUGGAAAGAAGGGAUUUUAACAGAGGUUUCCCUGUUCAGUAAAGGAAGAGGGAGAAAUGGAGAAAAAAGCAAGAUGACUGUUGCCCAGUAUUAUUGGCUGAGACCAUACAACACACUAAGACCCAGAUCCUCAAAGCUACCAGCUGCAGCAAGACGGCCUCACUAGUGGUAACUAUUAUUCCAGUGCGAGCAAGACGCUAAAAGAGAAAAGAACAGAGACAGAAAAAGAGCUUUCUUCAUGAUGACAAAAAUAUCUCAGCAUACAGGAUUGAAUUCUAAAUGGCGCUACAUGUAUCUGUACAUAUCCGAGAAGUAACAGCAAAAGAGGAGACCGUGGGAUAAAAGUUGUCUUCCUCAGCUCUGGCUACACUCAGGUUUCAUGCAGGAUUCUCCUUGGUCAGAAUCUAAACAUUAAAGGGCAGUCACCCUAUAUACCCCAUCAUGAGGAAGGAGUAAUCUGCCCAGAGUGGAGGAAUGCAAACACGGCUGAAGGCAGCAGAAAAAAAAAAAGGUUGAAGAACUAUUCCUGUUUCGUGCCAGAAUGUGUCUCAUUAUACAGAGUACAAUCAUUCUGAUGUGUAUAUGGGUCUAAUUUGAACAUUUUAAAUGCACUGUACACCAAUAAUUUAGAAUCAAAUUGUAUUAAAAUGUCUACAUAAUAGCUUGUAGUUCUAUAGUACCCUCUACUAGAGGAUCUCAAAGACUUGCAGGCAUAUCUGAAGCAACACAUAUUAAUGAAUUAAAUCUACCACCUCCCCUAUGGGAUAGUGAAAGAGGGAAAAAAUUGAAGGCUUUAAAUAUUUCUUCCUAUGGUGUAUUUAGCCUAAAUCAGGGGUUAUCAAAUGUUCUGAAAUCAUGGAACACAUCUUAAGACAAUCAGUCCCAUGGUUAUACAACAUUCCUGUACAUGCCUUCCUGUUUUCUGUUCCCCAUUUCCCCAGCCAUGGUCCCUGAGGGCAGUAUUCAAUUCCUCUCCCCUAUAAUAUUAAGCAGCAGCUGUAAUAUAGGCUCUUCAUUGCAAAAAGGAGACUAAAAGCUUGUAGAGGUGGACUGAAAAGAAGAGGAGCCAGUAACAUAUAACCUGUCAGCUCUCCACAAAGAACCAGCAAGUGCUUUCUGAACUACAUUUUGAGAACUACUGACAUUUACCCCAAACUCAAAAAAAAAAAAAUCUAGAACCAAUUAAUUUGUUUGAAGUGCCCUUCUAGGAAUUUUGAGUGAGUGCAGCUAUCUACUUUUUUACAAUGAUAAUGGAUCGAUUUUGACUGGACAAAAUCCAAGACUUAUCCAGGGCAAUUCAAAAAUCUAUUACAAUACACAGAACUGUGAUUUGUGUGUGUGUACGCAUGUGCACGUGAAAGAUAUGUGCUGUUUGUUCUAAGCAAAUGUACAGAAACAGCAAAACCACCAAAAUUUUGGUUCUUUUCUUGCUAUAUAUAUAUAUAUUAAGCAAUAGUAAUACUGUACUGAAUUAGUUUUCAGAUGAGUCUGAGACUUAUUUUUCUGACAGUAGUCCUUGUGUGUCAUAUGCAUUAUGUGGCAGAUUUCAUUAAGCUCGCACUUAAUCAAAGUUACUGCAUUUUUAUCAAAUGUUCAAUCCAGUUGACUUUCCUUAAGCUCUAAAGUUUUACUCAACAUAGAAGGUGUGCAACUCCUUUUUUGAUUCUAUGUGACUGGCACAAAGUUGUGGAAUUACUGUUCAUUUUAAGAGUUUAAUUUUCAACUAUUUUGCUAAAAUCCAGAGCAAAAAUUCCCAUGUUUAGUGCAGAUACAGUUCUCUUUUCCAUCUUCGAUUUUUAACACACCAAUGAAGUUUGCAAGAUAGUUAGUGCAUUGUUUUCCAUAAAACCACCAUGACGUUGUGUAUGAAAAGCAGGUGCACUUUUAAAAUUUUCUAGCUUUAUGUAUUGUCACUUCUGCAACAUUUGUAACAUAUUCAGUUGGACUACCAGAAUUCUUCUAAUUGUGAUAAUGAAACUUUUUAAAAACCUGGAACUUAAAGCUUUUUAGCUCCUUAGAGGCAAGUAGGAGUUUUAAUGAAUUUGCUGCCUUUUUGGGGGGAGGGUGCGGGGGGGGAGCACAUUACAAGGCACUUCAGAACUGGGGCCCCUUUAUACUUUGAAUUGUUUAACAACAGUAGCAUGCCGAGCAAAAUACCAUUCUGAACUAUAAAAAGUUUUAUAGUAUUUUUAUACAGUUUCAUAGAGAAUUCAGUUUUAUGAGGUCACCCAAGGGGCCACGAAAAGUCAGUAGUUUGUAGAAGUCCAACAUUUCAUGAGACGCUCCCAAAUUCUCGCCUGAUGUCCCCAACUCUGUGCUCUCCAUGUAGACACGUCACCAAAAUAUUUACGUUUAAAAAAAAAUCCUGGCCCUCCUGUUGCUUGGUGACCUAUUCUGUGGAUGACUACCUGACUAACACCUCUCACUGAGUUAUUCACUUGCUGUAAUGUUUGUGACUUUCUCAAUGGUUUGUAUCAAUAAGAGAACCAAAUACAGACCCAAGGUGUAGAAGAAAGUCUAUCUAAAUUAUGCAGGUUACCUCAAGAGCAAACAUCCUGUCCAUCAUACUUCUUGAUGAGGUGGCAUCUGCUACAAUGUGAACUUCCACACCUCUGCCAACCAAUUCCAGCGCUGUUUGCUGGAUGCACACGUGAGUCUGUCAGAAAAAUACCAGCAUUAUAAAAGUAUUUACAGGAUUACCUAGAACUACAGUACAAGAUUAAAUUAGGGAUCAAUCCUAUAAUUUUCCUAAACAUUAAAUUACUAAUUAAUUCAAUAGGAGUUUUGAAUGCAAACUGCAUAAUUGCAGGAUCUGGCCUUGUAAACUUAAUUUUAUAAGUAUCUAAGUAUUUUAUGAGAUUAUCCUCUCUGAACAACUGAAAUGAUCACAAACAAUUUAACCUUUAAGUGGUAUCUGGACUAUAACACUGCUUUGCAUAGACAUCAAUAUAUAAAAACACAUUUUCAACCAUACUACAGUAAUAAUACACUACUAUAACAAACAAGUACAUACUUCUACU